GCAGACCGAGGUGCAGGAGGUUAACAGAUGAGACAGCCUUUCAUCCUGCCCUCCAUGUGGCUUUGCCUACUCGCAUGCAUUUGUCUCUGUAUAUAUUGGCAGUCUUCUGGAGUAGCGACUCUCCUGACUGCCCUUGGAAACUUAUUGAAGCAGCAAUGUAAGAUUAGACCCUUAAACAAUGUCACCAAGAACACUGUACUUCUAGCAGUGCAGUCCGAUGUGCAAAAGCAGUUGCCCUGGGCAAAGGUCGGAGAUCAGAGCAGAAGACUUCGCAUCAGUCCCUCCUAAGAAUUCUCAUCACGCCACAGCAGGGAGAGGCGUGUAUUCUGACUAACUUCAGUGGAAAGACCUGCUUCAUGUAUCAAGUUAACAGUGAACCAUUCCUGGAGCAAGUGAAUUUGAGGACAACAUUUUGGCCUGUAGACUAAGUUCAAGACAGAAACACUGGAGGAAAGGCAAAAUGCCAUUCACAUUUAUAGUGCAGUAUGAAUAAAUAAUAUUGGUGGAAAGUGAAACUGCAUUGAAAGUCAUCCUUGCUUUUGUACAAACAAGGAGCUCCUUGUGCAGUGGAACGAAUGAAACCUGGUUUCCUAUGGAUUUGUGCCUCCUGGUUGGAUUUUCUGGUGUCUAGUAAAGUGUUGGAAGAGAGAAAUGAAGUAAUGGCUACGUGAAUACUCAGCAGAGGCAAACGGAUGUGGAGGAAGAAGUGAGCAUCAUUCACGAUCCGACUCCCUUUCUCCCAGAAUCGGCAGGGGAGGAAAGGGAAACAUGAUGCUCAGUUCAUGGCUGGUGUGUGCAGAUGGCACGGCUGGCAGUUUGCGGUGGCCUCCAGUGUGCAAGCCGGGCUUAGCAGAACUAGCAGUGAGUAGAGAGCAAACAAACAUGCACUUGAAGGGAAGAGAUAAUCCCAUUUCUAAUUCUGUGAACAUUUUGUGAAAUGAAAUCUGUUAGAAGUUUCACAGUUAGGAGAAAGCAAAACUGCCAGUCUUUAUCUUCUUUGUUGGUUGACAUGAAGUUAGGAUAAGAAUUUGGACUUAAAGCAAAAUUUUGCAUCUAUUUUCAAGGGAUAAACCAUGAUUUUCCCUCAGGAUGAAGAAAAUGAAUCAGGUUGGCAACACUUACAAAUAUUUUCUUAAAUCCCUUUACUAUUGUUUAUGUCAUUUGUUUUUCAUUUGAGUUUCCUCUUGUCCUACUUUAUUCAUGUUGACAUCGUGCUCUCAGUGGAAUAUAUCCUUCCUAUAAAAUUUGGCAUUUAGAAGUUAUUUGAAAUGCAGAGUUCCUGAAGACAAAAAUUAAAAUCUUUUAGAAGUUGGAAAGUAAUAAUUACAGUGCUAAAAUAAAUAUGGAGCUUCAGCCAUAAAUUAAUCUAAUUUUACCAUAAUAUUGUUUUAAUUUAAAACUAGUAUUUUUUACAAAGGCAGAGUUUGUUGCCCUGCUCACAGAGAAGAUGAAAUGAUAUAUACACACUUGCCGGCAUCAUUCUUAAUUAUAUCCUAUUGGAGAUUAUCAUGUGUCUUCCUCCAUUUUGAUGAUGAUCUUUUAUUGUAUUUCUGUAAUGCUGCAUUUCAUUAUUACAAUAAAAUAUAAUUAAAAAAUUAAGGAGAACAAGAAUUAGAGUUAGAAAACUCCUAUUACAUGGGCCCAUUUAUUCUCCAUGCUAGUGUAGGAUGUUUUCUUUUCCUCCUAGUGAAAUGUCUGAAUCAACUUUUUUUCCAAGAAUAAGCCACAAAAGCAACCUACCAAAAUUUAAAGUUUAAUCCUUAAACUCUUCGAAAAAGACAAGAAAUUGUUAGUCACAAAAUCAAGUUUCAUAUAAUAGAAGCUUUUUUUAAAAUUUGCUCAAAUUUAAAUGAAGUGCCAUAUUUUUUGUGUUAUGUUUCAAGUACAAUACAAAAAUAGACAUAUACAUUGCUGAAAUGUUUUGAAAAUAAAGUAUUCCGUAUUGCAUUUUUUAACUCUGUAUAAAUCCCAGACCUGACAUUGAGGGCUAACUGAACUUGACAUGUUUCUGAUUUCUGGUAAAUAUCUGUCAUACUGUACAAUCCUGUCAGAUUUAUUCCUGUGUAUGUGAGGUAUGUAUUUCUUUGUUUAAAAGAAAAAAAAAUGUAACUUUACAAAAGUAAUAGCUGUCUUUUGAAGAAUAACAUCAAAAGGCAUAAGAAGACAAGGCCUUUUUAUACUUCUCAGUAAGCUCAGUCCCAGCAGCAAAAUCCUGCAUAGCAGUCAAUUAGUUUCUUCUUGUGCAUGUAGAAAAUAAAAUAUUUGAUAACAAGGAGUAACAAAGUGGUAAACAGAAGAUCCUCUUCUUUCACUGUGCUGUGGUGUGCUGAAAUCAGUGCAGGUUCUAUCCCUUCUAAGUCCAUACAGCUGAACUCAAUUUUACCAUAUUACAAAGACGUGGGUUUUCAGUUAGCACCUACCACAUCCAGGCUCCUUAAUCUGUGUGUUAUAUAAUGGCACCUCCCACAGUAAAAGUUCAAUACUUUUGCAGAACCUCAGACUAAUUUUUACUGCAUGACAAACACAUGGAACCACAUCUCAUAUUUACUAGUAUUAGCUGCUUGCACUAAAUAUAUUUAAUCUUGUUCUUACUGCUUGAUUUUCUUGUUUAAUAUAUCUUUCUCUGAAAUAAACUCCCU